rnacentral:rRNA from 1 species
CCUAUGGGUGGCAGCAGUGGGGAAUAUUGGACAAUGGGCGAAAGCCUGAUCCAGCCAUGCCGCGUGUGUGAAGAAGGCCUUCGGGUUGUAAAGCACUUUCAGUGGGGAAGAAAGCCUUGGGGCUAAUACCCUCGAGGAAGGACAUCACCCACAGAAGAAGCACCGGCUAACUCCGUGCCAGCAGCCGCGGUAAUACGGAGGGUGCGAGCGUUAAUCGGAAUUACUGGGCGUAAAGCGCGCGUAGGCGGUCUGAUAAGCCGGUUGUGAAAGCCCCGGGCUCAACCUGGGAACGGCAUCCGGAACUGUCAGGCUAGAGUGCAGGAGAGGAAGGUAGAAUUCCCGGUGUAGCGGUGAAAUGCGUAGAGAUCGGGAGGAAUGCCAGUGGCGAAGGCGGCCUUCUGGACUGACACUGACGCUGAGGUGCGAAAGCGUGGGUAGCAAACAGGAUUAGAUACCCUAGUAGUC